CCUACGGGAGGCUGCAGUGGGGAAUAUUGGACAAUGGGGGGAACCCUGAUCCAGCCAUGCCGCGUGUGUGAAGAAGGCCCUCGGGUUGUAAAGCACUUUCAGUGAGGAAGAACGCCUGGUGGUUAAUACCCAUCAGGAAAGACAUCACUCACAGAAGAAGCACCGGCUAACUCCGUGCCAGCAGCCGCGGUAAUACGGAGGGUGCGAGCGUUAAUCGGAAUUACUGGGCGUAAAGCGCGCGUAGGUGGCUUGAUAAGCCGGUUGUGAAAGCCCCGGGCUCAACCUGGGAACGGCAUCCGGAACUGUCAAGCUAGAGUGCAGGAGAGGAAGGUAGAAUUCCCGGUGUAGCGGUGAAAUGCGUAGAGAUCGGGAGGAAUACCAGUGGCGAAGGCGGCCUUCUGGACUGACACUGACACUGAGGUGCGAAAGCGUGGGUAGCAAACAGGAUUUAGAUACCCUGGUAGUC
rnacentral:rRNA from 1 species